rnacentral:rRNA from 1 species
CAAUAGCGUAUAUUAAAGUUGUUGCAGUUAAAAAGCUCGUAGUUGGAUUUCUGUGGGCGCUGCGUCGACUCCCGAGCGGAGAAGACGGGGCGCGCACAUCGUUCUGUGAGCUCGGGCUUGGUUCUCACGGGCCGAACCCGCGCGCAGAUGUUUUACCUUGAGGAAAUUAGAGUGUUUCAGGCAGGCUUAGCCGGAAUACGCUAGCAUGGAAUAAUGGCGAGGACUUGGGCCUCAUUCGUUGGUUUGGGGGCCAGAGUAAUGGUUAAUAGGGACAGUUGGGGGCAUUAGUAUUUAAUUGUCAGAGGUGAAAUUCUUGGAUUUUUUAAAGACUAACCUGUGCGAAAGCAUUUGCCAAGGAUGUUUNCAUUA